UAGGUUAAGAAACCUGUCACCCCGCCGCCCCGACGAGAACGUCACAAUUGCACACAUGGCGCACUAGACCAAUCAAAGUGCUUAGUGCUUAGGUUUCCAAAAGAUGAAAAUCGAAGAAGGAAAUGCGGUUGCAAGCAAUCAAUAAGGAUCAAGUUGGAAAAUUAGAUCGGCUAUGUUCCAACCACUUAAAAUCAACAGACUUUCAGGAAUUAACAAUAUGUGGAAAAAGAGAACACGUCAGAAAAACAACCGGAUAGAAUCAAAAUAGAAGAAUGCAAUAUAGAAACGAUGCUACAAAGCAGAGCCCUAACUCGUUAAAAAGGUUUGAGAGUAUAUUUUUGGCUCUAGUAGAUUAUUCCAUCCAUAGCUAUUAACGUAUUUCUUUUCUAGAAAAUCAACAUGGAGAAUGAAGAAUUAGAAUGUUCCCGUGAAACACUUUCUUCCUAUUAGAAAUAUAAAAAACAUCAACGUGAACCAAGUGUCAAAAAAUCCAGAUGAAGCAAACAUCGUUAUAAAAAGUGCUUUCGCAAUAAUGAAAGAACAACAAUGAAAAAUACGUUAUUUACGAUGGUACGUAUGGAGACUAAGAAAACGAAUUAAGACUUUGUCUACAUUAAAUAAGCAUUUACGUGACAAUUUAAUUUCUGAUAAAGCUUUGGAACAUAAUUAUUCACUUAACGUGAAUAUUUAGUACUUGUACGUCGUGAUUUGUUGGAAAUCUUUCCAUGAAAUUUUUCAUGUAUGGAAUCUUGUAGCAAAUUCGGCGAACAUUGUAACUUAUAAGUUGUAAUUUUCACACUUCAAAUGUUAAAUUAGCACUUUAACUAUAUAUAUUUCAAUAAAAAAACAUAAUGAAAAGUCUAAC